GCCAGACUCCUACGGGAGGCAGCAGUGGGGAAUAUUGCGCAAUGGGCGAAAGCCUGACGCAGCGACGCCGCGUGAGGGAUGAAGGUCUUCGGAUCGUAAACCUCUGUCAGCAGGGAAGAACGGUCACUGUGCUAAUCAGCAGUGAAUUGACGGUACCUGCAAAGGAAGCACCGGCUAAAUACGUGCCAGCAGCCGCGGUAAUACGUAUGGUGCAAGCGUUAUCCGGAUUUACUGGGCGUAAAGGGAGCGCAGGCGGCGCGCCAAGUCUGAUGUGAAACCCCGGGGCUCAACCCCGGGCAUGCAUUGGAAACUGGCGGGCUGGAGUGCCGGAGAGGUAAGCGGAAUUCCUAGUGUAGCGGUGAAAUGCGUAGAUAUUAGGAGGAACACCAGUGGCGAAGGCGGCCUGCUGGGCUUUAACUGACGCUGAGGCUCGAAAGCGUGGGUAGCAAACAGGAUUAGAUACCCGCGUAUU
rnacentral:rRNA from 1 species